rnacentral:rRNA from 1 species
UGGGGAAUAUUGCACAAUGGGCGCAAGCCUGAUGCAGCAACGCCGCGUGAGGGACGACGGCCUUCGGGUUGUAAACCUCUUUUAGUAGGGAAGAAGCGAAAGUGACGGUACCUGCAGAAAAAGCACCGGCUAACUACGUGCCAGCAGCCGCGGUAAUACGUAGGGUGCGAGCGUUGUCCGGAAUUAUUGGGCGUAAAGAGCUCGUAGGCGGUCUGUCGCGUCUGCUGUGAAAACCCGAGGCUCAACCUCGGGCCUGCAGUGGGUACGGGCAGACUAGAGUGCGGUAGGGGAGAAUGGAAUUCCUGGUGUAGCGGUGGAAUGCGCAGAUAUCAGGAGGAACACCGAUGGCGAAGGCAGUUCUCUGGGCCGUAACUGACGCUGAGGAGCGAAAGCGUGGGGAGCGAACAGGAUUAGAUACCCUGGUAGUCCACGCCGUAAACGUUGGGCGCUAGAUGUGGGGACCAUUCCACGGUUUCCGUGUCGCAGCUAACGCAUUAAGCGCCCGCCUGGGGAGUACGGCCGCAA